AUGUCCCCACAGGGACUCAUGGGGUCUGAAGAAGCCCAGUGUUUCUCAAACUUGAGUGUGCAGCAGAAUCACCUGGAGGGCUUGUUAAAACAGAUUGCUGGCCCCACGCCCAGAGUUUCUGAUUCAGCACGUAUGAGGUGGGAUCUGAUGCUGACGCUGCUGGUCCGGAGAUACAUUUGGGGAACCACUAAGGUAAGUGAUUGCCAAGGGGACCCAGAAGAGGGAAAAGUCUUUUAUGAUACACUGAGUCAGUGUGGACAGUCACAACUGGGGGUCAGGGUGAGGGGCAUGCCAAGUAGAGGAGACAGAGAAAACAAGGUGCAUUUGUGGGGCUGGACUGUAAUGUCUCUAUAAAGAGCAGAGCAUGAGUUCCCGACGUGGCUCAGUGGUUAACGAAUCUGAAUAGGAACCAUGAGAUUGCGGGUUCGAUCCCUGGCCUCUCUCAGUGGGUUAACGAUCCGGUGUUGCCGUGAGCUGUGGUGAAGUUUGCAGAUGCGGCUCAGAUCCUGAGUUGCUGUGGCUCUGGCGUAGGCUUGGCAGCUACAGCUCCAAUUAGACCCCUAGCCUGGGAACCUCCAUAUGCCGUGGGUGCGGCCCUAGAAAAGCAAAAAGACAAAAAACAAAAAACAAAAAAACAAAACAGAGCAGAAAAGCCUGGUAUGAUGGACCAGAACCUGGAUCAGGCUUGGCCUAACUUAGGGAUGAAGAACAGAGGCUGAGAAAUCAGAUAUGUGGGUUCAAAACCUGCCUCUGUGGCUUCUUAGCUGUGUAACCUAAAAGGGUUUUUUCCUAAACUCUCAGAGCCUCAGUUCCAGAAUCUGCAAAAUGGUGCUAAUGCUGAUACCUGCUCUUGGGGUUGCCAAUGAGGGAGUGGAGGUGAGCACCUGGCACGGAGUGAGCGCUCAGGCAGUCAACGCUGGGACUUUUGCUGAACGCGGGCCUGAGGGUUUUCAGGCAGAGUGCAUGGCUGACCCAUCUGGGAGCCGAUGUUGACCGGCUCAGGUCUGGGCUGCAACUUUGGUAACAAGUUUCUCAGAUAGUAUUUGGGAAACCCUCCUUGAGGACACAGGGGUCUUUUGGCUCAAAGAGUUCCAGGUGGAGGCGAUCACUUUCCUGGCAGUCAGUCUGCCCCUCAGCCCUGCUCCAGUCCUCUGGUUGCCCAUUGGCAACCACAGGGGGUGGCCGAGGCAGCUCCACCAGGACCCAGGUGGAGGAGCUGCAAGCAACCUAGCCUGGGGAUUUAAUCGCCAGCGUUCGGAGUUAUCAGCUGGCAUCCAACAGUGGGAAAGGCAGCAGCUUUGGGGUGUCUUUUUUUUUUUUUUUAACCAGUAAGAAGCAAAGGGGAUUUAGUCCAUCUGCAUUAAGGGAAGAGAAUUCAUCCCAUCCCAUCCGCUUCCCGUGUUCAGAGAUAAAUUGGUUCAUUUCCAUGAAAAUGGAGAAGAAUCCUCGCUGCAGUGCCUUUUGGACUGUGUGCUAAAUGGGGAGGGGGGAGCUGUAUGCCUGGGAUGGAGAAGCUGUGCCUGUCUUCCAUCCUCUCCUGCUGCCACGCAGGCGCCUAGGAUGUGGGUACCGGCUCCAGUAUGAGUGGUUCUGUGUGGUUCUGAGUCCUGCGCUGGCAGCUCUACAGGAAUGCGGGUGCUGGCUUAGAGCAGACUGAGGUUUCCAUAACUCGUUGGAAAUUGUAAUCUGGCUCCCGCUCCCCACCUUCCCUGGAAGCCAGCCUUUCACCAGGGCCACUAACUCUCACCUCAAUCCAGUAGAAUUUGAGUUCUCUCCUCUUCUUCCCAGCGAAGGCCUUAGCAUGUUCUGUGGCCAUGUCCCUUCAGGGCCUUACAGUGGAGAAUGGGCAGGGAUGGGGUGGGAGGCACUGGGCCCACAGACUGGAAUCUCCUCUGGCAGUGUCCUCAGCCUGGGGCUUCUCCGCAGCCAAUUCUGACCCCUCCCUGAGGGGGCCUUGCCCCCAGUACCAUCUCAGUUGAUCCCCAGCCCUACCCCCUGCUUUCUGUCUUUGUGGUUUGAAUGGAGCUCAGGAUAAAACCAAGCCUGGUCAUCUUGGGGAAAGCAUUGUUCGUGGUUGGAAAUCAUGAGUAAAAUUUGAAAAAUAGUCAAAGAAAAUCCUGCUUAGGGAAGCAAGUUUCCCAGCAGGGGGAAAAAAAGCCAACUGGCAAAGUCCAACAGGAAUAAUCAGAAAUAGUCUCUGGAUUAUUCACCUUCGGUGUCAUCCACCCCCUCCCCACCCUUCCCAUCUCAUCCCCAUCUCCUCUGUGCCCUGGGUAACUGAGAGAUACCCAUGUUAAGGUGAUUGUCUAGGAAGAAUCAACUUAGACCCAAAGCCAAAUUCCUGAGCAGUUUCCACUGCAAUCCUGAUUCCCUCAUGCCGCCUUCUCCAGCUCCUCCUUCAUUCAAAUGCAGCUCACAUUAUGUAUCUGCUCCCUGGGGGCUGUUGGCCCCGGGCAGAUGUUUGUGGCAGAACCCUGGGACCCAUCCAAGGGUUAGACCUUCUGGGCCCUGCGUGGGGAGGUACAGCUUAAAUGUGUAGGUGGAUUUAUCUCAUCAGCCAAGUAUUGCCUGAGUGAGUGUCUGCAUGAACAACAGGACAGUGAACUCCCAUCACUUAGCCUUGCAAAUCAGUCCCCCAACUUUCCCAGCCCAGGUGGGGGUAUUUUCCUCCCUUGGGACCAAGUAGAAUAAAUGAGGCAGCAGCCCAGGUGGGAGGCA
rnacentral:lncRNA from 1 species